UACGAAGGGUGCAAGCGUUAAUCGGAAUUACUGGGCGUAAAGCGUGCGUAGGCGGUUGGCUAAGUCAGAUGUGAAAGCCCUGGGCUCAACCUGGGAAUGGCAUUUGAAACUGGCGAGUUAGAGUGUGAUAGAGGAUGGCGGAAUUCCCGGUGUAGCGGUGAAAUGCGUAGAGAUCGGGAGGAACAUCCGUGGCGAAGGCGGCCAUCUGGAUCAACACUGACGCUGAGGCACGAAAGCGUGGGGAGCAAACAGG
rnacentral:rRNA from 1 species